rnacentral:rRNA from 1 species
AGGGAAUAUUGGGCAAUGGGCGAGAGCCUGACCCAGCCAUGCCGCGUGCAGGAAGAAGGCUUUCUGAGUCGUAAACUGCUUUUGACAGGGAAGAAUAAACACUACGUGUAGUGCGAUGACGGUACCUGCAGAAUAAGCACCGGCUAACUCCGUGCCAGCAGCCGCGGUAAUACGGAGGGUGCGAGCGUUGUCCGGAUUUAUUGGGUUUAAAGGGUGCGUAGGCGGCCGUUUAAGUCUGGGGUGAAAGCCCGCUGCUCAACAGCGGAACUGCCCUGGAUACUGGAUGGCUUGAGUACAGACGAGGUUGGCGGAAUGGACGGAGUAGCGGUGAAAUGCAUAGAUACCGUCCAGAACCCCGAUUGCGAAGGCAGCUGACUAGGCUGUUACUGACGCUGAGGCACGAAAGCGUGGGGAGCGAAC